AAACUUCACACUGGGGGCAACCCCGAUGAGGGAAUUCCUAGUGCCAGGGCCUCUGGUCCUGGCUUUUCUCCGGCGUAGACGACCGGAGGAAUAAGGGCUGGGUAAGACGGGUGCCAGCCGCCGCGGUAAUACCUGCAGCCCGAGUGGUGGUCGAUUUUAUUGAGUCUAAAACGUUCGUAGCCGGCCCGGUAAAUCCCUGGGUAAAUCGGGAAGCUCAACUUCCCGAAUUCCGGGGAGACUGCCGGGCUUGGGACCGGGAGAGGCUAGAGGUACUUCUGGGGUAGGGGUAAAAUCCUGUAAUCCUGGAAGGACCACCGGUGGCGAAGGCGUCUAGCUAGAACGGAUCCGACGGUGAGGGACGAAGCCCUGGGUCGCAAACGGGAUUAGAUACCCCGGUAGUCCAGGGUGUAAACGCUGCAGACUUGGUGUUGGGGGCCCUUCGGGGCGUCCAGUGCCGGAGAGAAGUGUUAAGUCUGCUACUUGGGGAGCACGUCCGCAAGGAUGAAACUUAAAGAAUU
rnacentral:rRNA from 1 species